UCCCAGACUCCUACGGGAGGCAGCAGUGGGGAAUAUUGGGCAAUGGGCGCAAGCCUGACCCAGCAACGCCGCGUGAAGGAAGAAGGCUUUCGGGUUGUAAACUUCUUUUAAGAGGGAAGAGCAGAAGACGGUACCUCUUGAAUAAGCCACGGCUAACUACGUGCCAGCAGCCGCGGUAAUACGUAGGGGGCAAGCGUUAUCCGGAUUUACUGGGUGUAAAGGGAGCGUAGACGGCAUGGCAAGUCAGAUGUGAAAGCCCGGGGCUCAACCCCGGGACUGCAUUUGAAACUGUCAGGCUGGAGUGCAGGAGAGGUAAGUGGAAUUCCUAGUGUAGCGGUGAAAUGCGUAGAUAUUAGGAGGAACACCAGUGGCGAAGGCGGCCUGCUGGACGACAACUGACGGUGAGGCGCGAAAGCGUGGAGAGCAAACAGGAUUAGAUACCCGAGUA
rnacentral:rRNA from 1 species